GCUCUUUAAGAGAACUUGAUGGGUUUCUAGAAAUCUAUAGUUUUAUUUUCACUCUUAUCACAAGCACCUAUCCAGGGCUCAUUUGCAUAUGCUGCUAUAAACAUUAGCAUAUGCCCCUGGGGGGUGGCUGGGGCGGGAGACUUGCUGGCCUCUUCUAGCUUCUAGCCCCUCCUUGCUUUUGCUAACUCCUUCCUUUCUUAGAACUGGAGUCAUUCCCAGAACCUCAGGCUUGAAGUGAGGGGGGUCCAUUCCCUUCUGGAACUCUAGAUCUGGUUGCUCUCAGAUGCUCCGUGGCCAAGCUUUUCCCUGGCUAAGCGCCCAGUGGUCACAAAUUAUCAGCUUGCCUGAUUAGACAUCGCUCUAAUCUUCAUCAUGAUGGUGAAACCAAAACACCCCUGACUUGAACCCAGCCCAAACCCAGAUUGGGACUUGAACACACAGCUUUUUUUAAAAUUAGAAUCACUCACCUGGUGUCUGGACCUGCUGAAGUUCAGGUUCUUUGUGUGUUAGUGCAGAAGGAAUUUGGCGAGAGACAAAGUGAUCGACAAAAAAUAGAUUUAUUAAGCUAAGAGGCUUGUGAGAGAGACAAGCGGGCAGAUGAGAAGGCUCUCCCCUGAGGAUUAGGUGGGCUACAUUUUGAUCAUCCAAGAAGAGUGGAGAGUGGGAAGAGGCUACCUUCCUCCUCCUUCUUCAGGUAGAUGUCAGGCUUACAUCACCAGCUCCUCCUUUGCAUCAGGUAAGAGAGUAUUUGUCCCUAUGAGGUCAAACUAGGACCGUCCUGGUGCUUAUUUCAAAUCAGCAGAAGGGUGGUAACAUAGGCUAAAAUGUGCUGAAUCAUCUCAAGUUUCUGGAUAAUGAGGGUCUCCUACCUUGGAAUGUUCUCUUUUCCUUAAAUUCCUGUCCCUGCUCCUAAGGCUCAUUACCUUGCUGAACUGAAAUGCAGUCCUCAUUUUAGCUUUCACUUAAUGACCGGAGGCAUAUCUCGUGCUUUAAUUUAUGGUUUUACAGUUGAGCAAGCCUGCUUCGUUUCAUGAUGUUCUGAUGGCUUUCUUGAGUGAUUAUUAACUUACAGUGGAUUCCCAAACUUCCCGAGGUGUCCCUCUCUAUCCGUGGUCCCUUACCAGCACUUAAUGCAACUACCUGUGGAACUACCCCACCUCAUGCCAAUCAGUGGCACCUGCUCUGCCCUCUUCUUGCUCUUGUCCUUCUCAUCUAACCAGCUUCCUGAGUUUUUAUUUUGACAACACUUGUGCCUGCUCUGGGUGGCAUAUGUAAGUCAGGGUGUCAAGAGCUUUUAGAUAACAGGGAGGAGACUGAGAUUACAGGACCCCUUCUCUGACAACAGUAAGGAAACAGGACUUGUCCAGUCCUCAUGGGGUGCGAGUAAACGGUUAGGCUUCAGCAGGCCUUGUUCUCUGCUGGGUCUUGCACCCCCCUGGCACAGUGCUUCCGUCUGGAAAUACCUGCCACACCUGUUCUUCCCUGUAGCCACCUGUCCUCCAAGAUCUGCCUUGAAUCUCAUCGCCUCAAACUUCCAGGACCAGGAGACUAGAUAAUCUCCCCUCUGUUAUACUGCCCCUCCUAUUAUCCAGCCUCCCCAGUUUCCACAGAGCAGACCUAACUCUUCCUUCUUCACAUCUCAACUGAAAGGUCUUUCUUCUUCCACGGAGCCCUCCCUGACCACCCAGACUGAUCAGGUCCCCCUGCCGUGUGUGCUCAGGGCUGCCUGUACUUUUCUUUCAUCACAUUUAGCAGACUGAUAAUUACAUAUUUACUUGGAGGAAGGAUUUAAUUCAUAGUACUUUCCAUGUGGACAGGCUCUGGUGUCUCCUGCUCACCACUAUAGUGUCUAGUGUUCAGGAGACCACCACUUGUAUAGGCUCGGUGACCUUGCUUAGUCUCUUGACUUUUUCAGCAAAUUCUGAUUACUUAAGGUCUUUUCUCUUCAGCUAGACGGCAACCUCCUUGCAGGCAGGAACUGACCUAUCUUUUUGUUGUAACUUCAAAGUAUCCAGUACUAUUUUUUUCCCAUUUUUUAAAAGUUAUAUUGAUGUAUGGUUAAUUUACAGGGUUGUGAUAAGUUCUACUGUACAGCAAAGUGAUUCAGUUAUACAUUAUGCACAUCCAUUCUUUUUUAGAGUCUUUCCCCAUCGAGGUUAUCACAUAAUACUGGGUAGAGUUCUCUGUGUUAUACAGCAAGUCCCCACUGACCCCAUUCCAUAUACAGUAGUGUCCAGCACUAUUUUUAAUAAAGGCAUAUUGAUUUGAUGUUUCAGCCUUAGGAGACAAGAUGUGGUCAUUACUCUGAAUUUAUAUCAUACAAACUGUGAAGGAGAUUUCUUCUUGAAUGCCAUGUGCAGGAUAGAAGUUGCCAUGGAAGGACAGCGUUGUAGAUAAACGUGGCAGGAGAAAUAAAAAGGAAACAAAUUCACCCUGGCAUAAGGUUGCGGGAGGUCCUCAAAACAGGACACCUGACCAGAGGCAGGGGGAGGGGGCAGGUGCAAGAAGGUUUGGUCUUGGGAUUUUAGGCUCAAUUCCACACAGUCUGCAUUCCAUGGAGGGUCCUUCAGCUUCCCAGAGCUUAAAGUCCUUUUCCAGUUAUUGAUUUAAUAUUUCUCUAUUUGUUGCUUUAAACUUUAAGAUUUAUUUUUAUUACUUUCAGCUGUACUUUUCAGAAUUUACCGUCUUUCCAUUUUUAAGCAUACCAUUCAGUGGCAUUAAAACCCACUCACAUUGUUGUGCAACCAUCACCCCAAGCCAUCUCCAGAGGUUUUUCAUCUUCCCGAACUGAAACUCUGUACCCACCAAACACCAACUCUCAUUUCCUCCUCCUUUCAGCCCCUGGCAAUCAUCCUUCUACUUUCUGUCUCUAUGAAUUUGACUAUUCUAGGUACCUUAUAUAAGUGGAAUUAUAUACUUUUUGUCCUUUUGUGACUGGCUUAUGUCACUUGGCAUCAUGUGCUCAAGGUUCAUCCAUGUUGUAGCCCAUGUCAGAAUUUCCUUCCUUUUUAAAGGCUGAAUAAUAUUCCAUUUUGGGAUUCACUGUAUUUUGUUUAUUCACCUGUCCAUGGACACCUGGGUUGCCUCCACCUCUUUGUUAUUGUGAAUAAUGCUGCUGUAAACAUGAGUGUACAAAUAUCACUUCCAGGUUCUCUCUCCAGCUCUUUUGGGUAUGUACACUGAGAAGUAGAAUUGUUAGAGCAUAUGGUAGUUCUAUUUUUAAUUUUUUGAGGAACAGUGUAAUAUUUUCCAUGGUAGCUGUGCCGUCUUAUGCACACACCAAUAAACAGUGCACAAGGGUUCCCAUUUUCCACAUCCUCACCUACACUUUUUUAUUUACUGUUUUUUUUUUUUUUUUUUUGGAUGAGCCCAAGGCAUGCAGAUGUUCUCAGGCCAGGGAUCGAACCGAGCCACAGCAGUGACAAUGCCGGAUCCCCAACCAUGAGGCCACUGGGGAACUCCAAUUUCCUGGUUUUUUGACAGUAGCUGUCCUAAUGAGUGUUGAGGUGGUGGUCCUUUUACCAUAAUGCAGUGGCUGUGGUGGUGCCUGGUAACCUAGGGGACAGGUGGAGGGUGCUCAUUUCUGAGGACUCAUGAUAUUCGGUCCUUUCCAGGGUUCUGGACCCAGGCUUCCACACCUUUCUGGAUUUUGACCAAGUCAGUCAAUCUCUUUUUGUCUCUGUUUUCUCUGCAAGAGAUGGUGGUGGGGAGGGAGUGGAGGCAAAUAAAAAUAGCCUCCUGCUCUCCACAGGGUUGCUAAAGCCUCAGCUGGGAUAAUAGAUGUGAAAACACUGUGAAGUGAAAACAUCUAUUUAAAUCCAAGAGGUUGUUAUUUACAGUCUUAAAAUCUUAUUUGCCCUGCUCAUGCUGCCUACCUUAAGCACCUUCCGUGGGAACUGUGGGGACUAGGGUUAGAAGAACCACAGAAAGGGAUGAUUAAAUUCAGAAACACCGUCUGGCCCAGUCUGUUUUGGUUGGCAGUCUCCUGGUGCUGUUGUCUCCUUUCGAGUUGAAGAAGCUUUAUGGAUGGACUGUGAGGAGGAAGUCAGUUAGAGGCUGGUGGCAGGCUGCGCCUUCAGAGAGGGAAACCUAGCUUUUGUUAAACCUGCUGACUGAUUCCUUGUCAGUUUCAGAUGAUUUAAUGGCCGUGCACUUGAGCUGCCCCCAACCAAAUAUCGAUCUGGGACUGUGUCGGAGAGAAACAGAGAACUAUAUAUAUUGCGAGAUGGAAGGGAGUGGGGCAGGCAGCAAAGAACUGUCCACAAAGGCUGUGGACUCAUUCUUUUGUUUGUUUGUUUAAUGGCUUUACUGAGGUGUAAUUGAUAUACCAACACCUGCAUAUAUUUAAUGUAUAUAAUUUGAUGAACUUGGAUAUAUGCAUACACCUGUAAAACCAUUACUCCUCAAGGUCAUAAACAUAUGCAUCACCUCCGGAAAUUUCCUCGUGCCUCUGUGUGUGUUUGUUUUUGUAAGAAUACUUGACAUGAGAUCUACACUCUUAAAAAUGUUUAAAAAGCACAACACAGUAUUGUUAACCAUUAGCAUUGUGUUGAACUGUAGUGCUCUAGAAUUUAUUCAUCUUGCACAACUGAAACUUUGUAUCCAUUGAACAACUUUCCAUUUCCUUCUCCUUCUAGUCUCUGGCAACCACCAUUCUACUAAGCUUCUAUGAGCUUGUUACCUCAUAUAGAGAAUCAUUCAGAUCUGCAUUUUUGUGAUUGGCCUAUUUCACUUAGUGUAAUGUCACCAGGUUCAUCAAUAUGGUCACAUGUGGUAGGCAUUCACCAACUCAUUCUUAAGCAUUGGUGCAGCCCAUUUGUUGAGGUAUCUUCUGAGAAGCCCUAAGCACAGGCGUUAAUAAACAUGUGGGCUCUGGAGUCAGACAGACUUGAGUUCAAAUCUUGGCUCUACUCAGGGGCCAGGGGAAGUCACUGUUCCACUCUGUGCCUUGGUUGCCUCAUAAUACCAUACCUACCUCCAGGGAUUACUGUGAGGCUCAGAUGAAACAUACAUAAGUGUUUAAUAAACGUCAAUAUCGUUAUCCUUAUUUUUAGAUAAAUAAUAUCUCCUGUAUCAGUUCACCUCUUCCAGUUGUUUGAAAUUAUUGUCACUUCUAAUCUCGGAAUUCUCAGAAGCAGCAUGGGGAAGUGACGUAGGUAGUGGGACUGGAUUCUGGUGGAUCUGUCACUAAACUGGGACCUCAGACAAGUCACUUCCUUGGCUUUGCUUCUCUGGUCUGUAAAAUGAGGGCUGCAUGUAUAAGAUAUGUAGAUGAUAUGAAGUGGCAGCUGCAGAUGUCUGCGAGAGGUGUGGGGGAGCCAGUCUGGGAGCAGCUUGGUGGGGAGACUGGCAGAGGCAGGGGACUCCGUAUGUGUAAGGCCCUGGCAAUGGUCAUUGUGAUGGUGGGGCAGGGUUGAGAGCUGUGCGCAGGCUCCUCGGGCGUGUAGGAGGAAAUGAAGGAUACAAGGUGGCAGCAGUUGUUAAAGGUUGUUGAAUAAAUGAACACCUCAAUUGCAGAGUGGAUUAUAAAAUAGAAGUUGUAAGCCAGGGUCUAGACCAGCUGGGUUCUAAGGGUGGUUCCAACCUCGAAGUGGAGACAAGGGUUGCGUCCCUUCAGUCCUUGGGCUCCUGAUGCCUCCAGGUCCGGGAAGGAAGGGAACAUAGGUGAGAAGACCAGGCAGGUGCUUGGCAGUGACAGGGGAGUCCCAGGACACCAGAAUCAAAGGGACUGGGGACGGGGGGGGGAGAUGUGCAGGCUUAGGUCAGAAUGGUAUCCAGGGUACUUUCGGAUUGGCCAGCCACAGGCCAGGUGUGGAACCAAGACCCUGCAUCCCUCCACCAGGACGCUGGUCCAGCUCAGGCAGUUUCCUUAGCAAAGGGCUGAUCCUGAUGGGCUCCAAACCUCAUAGUAAGGUGAACCCCAGCUCCUUGAAUUUCUGGCUGGGGGUCAGCGAUUAGACAAACGCUUUCCACAAACUCUCUUUCUGGAGGAGCUAUCGCUGGGGAUGCUGUCACCUCCCCACAUCCUCCCCCCCUUUCCUUCUUUAUCCUCCAGCCCCCUCACUCCCCUUUCCCCUUGACCAUCCUUUCUCGUUUCACUUCACCCCCUUUCCUCCCCACCAGACCCAUGCGGAUCUUUAAAGGGGUGUGAAAUCCUGGCAUGAAGAGGCAGCGUGCAGACCUUCACUGAUUACCUACUUCGCUGUCAGCUCCGCUGGUGUGAGGGGAAGGCCCUCUCUCACUCUCUCUUCCUUCUGUCUGUUAAAAAAAAAAAAAAAAAAAAAAAAAAAAAAAAAAAAGAAUUACCCACCUCCCCUUCCAAAUUAAAAAAAAA
rnacentral:lncRNA from 1 species